UCCUGGUUGGCUCAGUUGGUAGAGCGCUCCACAGGAAACGGAGAGGUUCCUGUCUUGACACCAGGACCAGUCG
rnacentral:tRNA from 1 species